rnacentral:rRNA from 1 species
UGAGGAAUAUUGGGCAAUGCCCGCAAGGGUGACCCAGCAACGCCGCGUGGAGGAUGAAUGUCGUAAGAUUGUAAACUCCUGAUAGAGGGGAAGAAUAGUACCGGUUGGACCGGUAUAUGACUGUACCCUCAGAGAAAGCCCCGGCUAACUACGUGCCAGCAGCCGCGGUAAUACGUAGGGGGCAAGCGUUGUCCGGAUUUACUGGGUGUAAAGGGCGCGCAGGCGGGAUAAAAAGUCAGUGGUGAAAUCCUACAGCUUAACUGUAGAACUGCCUUUGAUACUUUUAUUCUUGAGUUCGGGAGAGAGAGACGGAAUUCCAGGUGUAGUGGUGAAAUACGUAGAUAUCUGGAAGAACACCAGUUGCGAAGGCGGUCUCUUGGUCCGACACUGACGCUGAGGCGCGAAAGCGUGGGGAGCAAACA